CCCUUCCUUCGGCCCCGCCCAGCCCCGCCGGCCGCCCGCUCCCUGGGGAACCGAGGGAGGAAUGGGCGGGGUCCUCAGGUGCCCGGCGACGUCAUCCAGCCCCCAAGGCUCCAGGACGCAAAGGGUCCCCUGAUCUGGCAGUCCCUGGACCUACCCUGGAGAGCGUGGGGGGACAAAGGCCGGACGCGCCGCCCGCUGCCGCCUCCAGGAAGCCCUCCCUUGCCAGGACAGUGGAGUUGGCCGGGUCCUUCCAAAGUGCCUACGGAAAGCUUUGUCCCAUCCUUGAAAAAUUGCUAAUGGGUUUGGAGAUACGAGGUGGAGAUGACUAGCAAUCAAACUCAAAGGUGGAAGUCACAUCGAGGCAGAUGAGCAGAUGAGGGGACCUAGAGAAGAAGAGAGGUGCAAGGAGAGCCCAGCCAGCAGGAACAUCUGCCCCAGUAGGCAGCACUGCCCCACAUCAGAGUCGAGGAAAGCAAAGCUCGGAUUGGAUAAAAGAAACUUGCAAACACGGUCAGUGCUUACUGCAUGUGGGCUCAGAGCACGUUACCCUCCUUCCCUGCAUGUUCCUGUGAAACGGGUUUACUGCUCUAACUCUCAGGGACACUGUGAAGACCAAACGAGAAAAUAGAAACAAACAUAAUUUAUAAACCAUAAAGUACUGACACCAAAAGAGGGGCGAGCACAGCAUUGUGAAUGUGCUGGUACUAAAUGGUUUGUUUUAAGAUGAUUUUAUGGUGUGUGAAUUUCACUUGAAUAAAUUUUUUUAAUGGAGUUCAUGGGGACGCUGCAGGAUGUCAAUUAACUUUGGACAUUUUAGCAGCGCUUUAGGUGUUAAAAUUAUUUUUUAAAAAAUACAGGAUGAAGGGAAAAGCUUCAUGACAUUGGAUUUGGCAGUGAUUCCUUGGAUAUGACCCCAAAAGCACAGAUAACGAAAGAAAAAAUAGUUAAAUUGUCUUCAUCAAAAUUAAAACUUUUGUACAUCAAAGAACUCUUUCAAAAGAGUGAAAAAGUCACAGAAUAAGAGAAAAUCAUAUACCUGAUAAAGAAUUAAUAUUCAGAGCCAGAUGCAGUGGCUCAUGCCUGUAAUCCCAGCACUUUGGGAGGCCAAGGCAGGCAGAUCACUUGAGAUCAGGAGUUCGAGACAAGCCUGGCUAAAAUGGUGAAACCCCAGCUCUACUAAAAAUACAAAAAUUAGCCAGGCGUGGUGGCGUGCACCUGGAAUCCCAGCUAUUCGGGAGGCUGAGGCAGGAGAAUCGCUUGAACUCAGAAGGCAGAGGUUGCAGUGAGCCAAGAUCACACCACUGCACUCCAGCCUGGGCGACAAAGUGAGACUCCAUCUCAAAAAAACAAAACAAAACAAAACAAAACAAAGAGUUACUAUUCAGAAUAUAUUAAGAAUUCCUACAACUCAACAACAAAAAAAAAUCCAACCCAAUUAAAAAAUGGGCAACAGACCCAAAUAGACAUUUCUUAGAAGACACACAAAUGGCCAAUAAGCUCAUGAAAACAUGUUUAACAUCACUAAUCAUUAGGGAAAUGCAAAUCAAAGCUAAAAUGAGAUACCACGUCACACUCAUUAGGUGUUAUUUUUUAAAAAUAACACAACAACAAAAAAUAAGAAAUGUGGGCGAGGAUGUGAAGAAAUUGAAACCCUUGUGGACUGUUGUUGGGGAUGUAAAAUGGCGCAGCUGCUGGGGAAAACAGUAUGGGAGUUCCUCACAAAACUAAACAGAAUUGCCAAACGACCCAGCGAUCCUGCCUCUGACAUAUACUGGAAAGAACUGAAAUAAGGCGCUGGAACAGACACUUGUAACCCAUGUUCACAGCUGAGCCAAAAGGUGGGAGUAACCCAAAUGUCCAUCAGUGGAUGAAUACUGGCAAUAAAAGCUGUGUCUGGAGGCCACUCCGUUUCACACAGCUCUCCACACGGGUGAGGGCACAGCCUUCUCGUCUCUUUCCUAUGCUGCAUCUUCAGAGCUAGCUAUGAUAUGAUAUGAUGUGAUAUGUACAUAUCGAAUAUACAUGUUUUACAUGCAAA
rnacentral:lncRNA from 1 species